GGGAAAUAGUCGUACGAUGCAUAAGCCGUCUGAUCUCCUUCUUGAUCGAAAUCAUUUUGUCUUUGUGUAGACACAACCUCUGUCGAACAGAGUCGACUUGGAAACCCAGAAAUUCCAUCUGUCUGGAGGGUUGUAGAAUUGAUUUUUCCCAAUUCACCAAAAAUCCUAAGUUUUGGAUAAGGUGGAUCGUCCAGGAUAGGUGAAUGCGAAGUUGGGAUUGAGAUUGGGAC